CCUACGGGUGGCAGCAGUGGGGAAUAUUGCACAAUGGGCGCAAGCCUGAUGCAGCCAUGCCGCGUGUGUGAAGAAGGCCUUCGGGUUGUAAAGCACUUUCAGCGGGGAGGAAGGCGUUAAGGUUAAUAACCUUGUCGAUUGACGUUACCCGCAGAAGAAGCACCGGCUAACUCCGUGCCAGCAGCCGCGGUAAUACGGAGGGUGCAAGCGUUAAUCGGAAUUACUGGGCGUAAAGCGCACGUAGGCGGUCUGUCAAGUCGGAUGUGAAAUCCCCGGGCUCAACCUGGGAACUGCAUUCGAAACUGGCAGGCUAGAGUCUUGUAGAGGGGGGUAGAAUUCCAGGUGUAGCGGUGAAAUGCGUAGAGAUCUGGAGGAAUACCGGUGGCGAAGGCGGCCCCCUGGACAAAGACUGACGCUCAGGUGCGAAAGCGUGGGGAGCAAACAGGAUUAGAUACCCUAGUAGUC
rnacentral:rRNA from 1 species